AAGCGGUGGUUGUUUUGUUUCACU
rnacentral:miRNA from 1 species